AACGUGUAUUGGGUUCAGCAUGUUUCUGAUUUAUGCAAAGCUUUCGGGGGAAAGUUAAAUACUUUAACAAAGCGGAAUGGUUUAUAGACUUACGAUGUCAUAAAAACUUGGGUGCGAGCGUCCACCAGGAAAAUUUCGAUCGAAGUACAGAAUUUUCUUGAAUCCGGGGACGAUAAUGUUUUUAUCAGCUGAUUGUAGAGGAGGAGUUUUGUCAGUGUUCGAUGGGUACUAACGUCAUAUUGUGGCUGCAUCACUUUUGUUUGGCAGAGGUACAAGAGAACCAGUAACACAGAUAAAAGAUGCAGUUGCUAAGAGAUCCAAAGUCAACAGCACCUAAGGCUAUACUAACUUUGAAUUAUCAGCAUCCAACACAAUGCAAAUCAAAUACAGGUGUCUGCACAUCAUGCAAUCUUAAGACAAUAUACUGGAUGGUUUUGAUUAAGAAGUGAUCCAGCAUGAAGACCAGCCAUGUUCCUCACCUGUCAUGACAUUAUUAAAGUAUGUGCAAUGAUUGUGAAGAAAAUAAACGGAAACUAAAUGGACCGACAGACAGCACCAAAGCAAUAUGCCCCCCCUUCUUCGAAGGGUGGCAUAAUAAAUUACUUUGUGACAGUGGGAAGAUAAAAUUUAAAAAAUGGAUAUGGCUCUAUAUUACUGCAUCAGAGAUCAAUCCAGGUUUACUUAUAAUUUGAAGAAAAACAGUCAAG